rnacentral:rRNA from 1 species
AUGAGGAAGGGCAGCGAGUGCACCAGGAUCAGCCCGGAGACCACCACCAGCGGCAACCCUAUGUUCUCCCGGCAGGCGAGCAGGUCCGGCGCCCGGACGGAACGGGACGCCUGGCCAAGGCAGGCGCGCGGCGGCUGCCGCCUGCUGAGGACCGCGCGGUGGACGGCCGCCAGGUUCUACCGGCGCGCGAGGGUGAGCGUCGUCACGGCCUUCUGGUCGGCCCCGAGCAGGAAAGGUUCUUCCAGUUCCACUUCCAGUGCUGCUUCACGCUCGCCGGAGUAUACGCCGGCGAGGAACAGCAGCAGGCGGCAAUCCGGGCCGGUGGUCGUCGCCGAUGACUCCCACAAGAGCGAAGCCGUGGAGGAGUGCAUCAGGUUCAUGAACUCCUCGUCCAGGAAGUACCGGUAG